CUGCGAGCGUGACGGCGCGAGCAGGUGCGAAAGCAGGUCAUAGUGAUCCGGUGGUUCUGAAUGGAAGGGCCAUCGCUCAACGGAUAAAAGGUACUCCGGGGAUAACAGGCUGAUACCGCCCAAGAGUUCAUAUCGACGGCGGUGUUUGGCACCUCGAUGUCGGCUCAUCACAUCCUGGGGCUGAAGUAGGUCCCAAGGGUAUGGCUGUUCGCCAUUUAAAGUGGUACGCGAGCUGGGUUUAGAACGUCGUGAGACAGUUCGGUCCCUAUCUGCCGUGGGCGCUGGAGAACUGAGGGGGGCUGCUCCUAGUACGAGAGGACCGGAGUGGACGCAUCACUGGUGUUCGGGUUGUCAUGCCAAUGGCACUGCCCGGUAGCUAAAUGCGGAAGAGAUAAGUGCUGAAAGCAUCUAAGCACGAAACUUGCCCCGAGAUGAGUUCUCCCUGANCCUUUAAGGGUCCUGAAGGAACGUUGAAGACGACGACGUUGAUAGGCCGGGUGUGUAAGCGCAGCGAUGCGUUGAGCUAACCGGUACUAAUGAACCGUGAGGCUUAACCUUACAACGCCGAAGGUGUUU
rnacentral:rRNA from 1 species